AGAGUUUGAUCCUGGCUCAGAAUAAACGUUGGCGGUGCGCCUUAUGCAUGCAAGUCGAACGGUCGAGCAUGUAACUUGUUAUGUGCUCGGUAGUGGCGAACGGCUGAGUAACACGUAAGCAACCUGCCUUUGAGUGGGAAAUAACCUGUCGAAAGGCAAGCUAAUGUCCCAUGCGGUAAUCAGGCAAAAGCCUGGUUAUCAAACCCCUCGGGUGCUCGAAGAGGGGCUUGCGUCUGAUUAGCUAGUUGGUGGGGUAACGGCCUACCAAGGCGAUGAUCGGUAGCUGGUCUGAGAGGAUGGUCAGCCAGAUGGGGACUGCGACACGGCCCCAACUCCUACGGGAGGCAGCAGCAAGGAAUUUUGGGCAAUGAGCGAAAGCUUGACCCAGCGACACCGCGUGAGGGAGGAAGGCCUUCGGGUUGUAAACCUCUUUUCUUGGGGAAGAAUUCUGACGGUACCCAAGGAAUAAGCCUCGGCCAACUACGGGCCAGCAGCCGCGGUAAU
rnacentral:rRNA from 1 species